rnacentral:rRNA from 1 species
GAUGAACGCUGGCGGCGUGCCUAAUACAUGCAAGUCGAGCGAACGGACGAGAAGCUUGCUUUUCUGAUGUUAGCGGCGGACGGGUGAGUAACACGUGGAUAACCUACCUAUAAGACUGGGAUAACUUCGGGAAACCGGAGCUAAUACCGGAUAAUAUUUUGAACCGCAUGGUUCAAAAGUGAAAGACGGUCUUGCUGUCACUUAUAGAUGGAUCCGCGCUGCAUUAGCUAGUUGGUAAGGUAACGGCUUACCAAGGCAACGAUGCAUAGCCGACCUGAGAGGGUGAUCGGCCACACUGGAACGGAGACACGGUCCAGACUCCUACGGGAGGCAGCAGUAGGGAAUCGUCCGCAAUGGGCGAAAGCCUGACGGAGCAACGCCGCGUGAGUGAUGAAGGUCUUCGGAUCGUAAAACUCUGUUAUUAGGGAAGAACAUAUGUGUAAGUAACUGUGCACAUCUUGACGGUACCUAAUCAGAAAGCCACGGCUAACUACGUG